rnacentral:rRNA from 1 species
GAUGAACGCUAGCUACAGGCUUAACACAUGCAAGUCGAGGGGAAACGAUAUUGGAAGCUUGCUUCCGAUAGGCGUCGACCGGCGCACGGGUGAGUAACGCGUAUCCAACCUGCCCAUCACUUGGGGAUAACCUUGCGAAAGUAAGACUAAUACCCAAUGACGUCUCUAGAGGACAUCUGAAAGAGAUUAAAGAUUUAUCGGUGAUGGAUGGGGAUGCGUCUGAUUAGCUUGUUGGCGGGGUAACGGCCCACCAAGGCGACGAUCAGUAGGGGUUCUGAGAGGAAGGUCCACGACAUUGGAACUGAGACACGGUCCAAACUCCUACGGGAGGCAGCAGUGAGGAAUAUUGGUCAAUGGGCGAGAGCCUGAACCAGCCAAGUAGCGUGCAGGAUGACGGCCCUAUGGGUUGUAAACUGCUUUUAUAAGGGAAUAAAGUGGGAGUCGUGACUCCUUUUGCAUGUACCUUAUGAAUAAGGACCGGCUAAUUCCGUGCCAGCCGCCGCCGUAA